rnacentral:rRNA from 1 species
AUUGAACGCUGGCGGCAGGCUUAACACAUGCAAGUCGAACGAGCGGCGGACGGGUGAGUAAUGUAUGGGAAACUGCCUGAUGGAGGGGGAUAACUACUGGAAACGGUAGCUAAUACCGCAUACCAUCAGAUGUGCCCAGAUGGGAUUAGCUAGUAGGUGGGGUAAGGGCCCACCUAGGCGACGAUCCCUAGGUGGGCUGAGAGGAUGACCAGCCCCACGGGAACUGAGCCAAGGUCCAGACUCCUACGGGAGGCAGCAGUGGGGAAUAUUGCACAAGGGGCGCAAGCCUGAUGCAGCCAUGCCGAGUGUAGGAAGAAGGGCUGCGGGUUGUAAAGUACUUUCAGCGGGGAGGCGUUACUAGCAGAAGAAGCAACGGCUAACUCCGUGCCAGCAGCCGCGGUAAUAC